UAAGCACUAUCGUGUAAGAAAAGUCUAAGAAUGGAUCGGAAAGAGAAAAGAUUGAUCGAUCAUCGGUCAGUGAGCAAAAAGACCAGCUUUGAUACACAAGGACGGUCAUCGCCACAGACGUUAUUCCUUCGUGACCCAGUUUGUGUUCGCCUCAUGACGCACAUUCCAAUUCACCGACGUUCAGAAACACUUCUUUUUCCUCAUUCAAUUCCCUUUCUUCAUCCUCUACAUUUCCUUCUAUGAGUCCUCGAUAGUUCACUAACAUUUCGCCAGAUGACGUCACUAGUAACUACCAUUUCUGUACAAACUUAAUCACAGGUUAACACUACUUAACGUCUUAACAGAUUCGCCGAUAAUUAUGUGAGAUCUUGAAAUACAAAAUCAUAGGAUUCUGUGAUUAAGACAAAGCUUAUUUUAGUCGUGGAAAAUUGUAGCAAUAUAGCAACAGUCAUAGCAGAUGAGGAAACGGAAUUCUCUUUUAAUUUGAUUUUUAUCAAGAUAUAUGUUUUGAAAAGCAUUCAAAGUAGUUUGUUGCAGAGAUAAAUACAAGGUCGAAGUCCUGACUGGGAAAACAGAAAUGUACUGUCAUCUGUUACGUGAACUAAUAAUAACUAUUAUUGUCGAUAUUGCGCAAUCGGAUCUGAUUAUUCUUUGUUGCGGUCGUUACUGAUAGUUUAAUUACAUCAAUAAUUUGACGGACGAUUAAUUUGGAGGAGGUAAGCGAUUUAGACCGUGUUGAUUUGUAAAAAUCUUUUAUUUCGAGAUUAGUAAUAGGAGAUUAUGAGGAUUAGAGGGGGAUUAGUGAAGGACUAAUUUAUCAAAGAAUUGGUUCAGGUAAAUUGAUCAAAAUAUAACUAUCUUUCUCACACGCCUAACAAAUCCUCCAUUAAAACAUGUGUUACGGACAUACGAGGUUAUCUUACAGUUCUUCCAGUUGACUUCGACAUCGCGAAAAUAAAGUGACUUACGAAGAUCUGUAAAUAAACGUGCAAUGUUAUGACGUAAUUGUAAUCGCGAUGGAUUCAUCAUCUUUUCUUUGCUCCCGCUUCACGUCAAUAUCAACAUUGUAUCAUCGAAUUCAGAUUCCGAGCAUCCAUCAUCAAUGUUCAUAUAUUGCUCAAGGAUGAUUUUGUUAAUCUCUAAGACGUUGCAGCAACACGAUUUUCAUGGUCAUUUAUUUUUGCACCCCAUUAGAUUUUAACUUUCUUGCACAAUUUAACUAAUGUUACUAAUGAAAUUUUACAAGCCUUAGGUUAAAAGUUACGAAUAUCAAUAAGUUAGUUUGCGUCAUAGCUACUUAUUUACAAAUUAUUUACAAAAUCUACAACCAACAAUUCGUAACUCGUCAAUUCACUACUAUUAUUAAUUGGUAAAUUAUCAUACAAGAGUCAUAUACAAAAUGUUGAUAUAACGGAAUAAAAUAGAGAAAUCCAGAAAUCUAAGAAAGUAGGAAUGUACUAAAUAGGUUGAAAAUUUUAUUGUCAUUUAAAAAUAAUUUACUACAUUUAAUUCUAUGAAUGGAAUUUUGUAAAUAUGGAAAUAGAAAGAGAAACUAACAAAAAAAUGACUUAUAUAAUGAAAUAGUUGUAUGGAAAUAAAUUUGUAUGUUAUACAACAUGAGAUGUCAUACAACAUGUAACGAAUAUCAACGCAAUGCAUUAUGUCUGAUUAUGUAAUUAAUGCGAUCUUUUGAGGACAUUAUCAUCUGCGAAAAUUUUUAGCUUAUCUUUGUAUUAAUGAAUUUACGGGUCAGCGAAGCGCAGCAUAAUUAAGUCGACAUGAAAAUAAGACUAACAAACAUUGUUUUUCAUCAUACAAUGUAUUGUUUUAAUUUCUCGGCAUAAUUUCCUUAUGUUAUAUCGAUUUCAUUAAUUGAAUUACAAUCAAAGAUGUAAACACCGCUACAUUAAUUUUUCAUUUUUCAUUACCAGCUGAAUUAAUGAUUGAUAUAUUCUGUACACAAAUAAUUUAUAGAGACAAAUUUUGUGACAUUUUCAUGAAAGGUACGAAAAACAGAAGUGCGGAAAAUAUGGCAAUUAUCGACGUUGACCGUGACGAACCGGGAGAAAUGAUUAAUUGCUAUCUAAAAUUAAUUGAGUUUCUUUCUUUAUGGCAAUUACGUGAUUCAACAAUGAUCACUUUACGUAACGCCAUUUGUUAUAAUGAUGUUGUAGCGAUUACGUGCCUGUCCCAUGUCUACUCGCAGCAACUUAAGGUCAAGUUCAAAUAUUGACUAACAAUUAUCAUGAGAACUAUCGUCAGAUUAUUUAGUAUUUUAGUGAUUCUUUUGGUUCAUGGCAUACCUGGAAUCUUGCACAAUAAGUUAUUAAUUAUUAAUAUUAAUAAUUUUACAAGUUAUAAGUUAUAGACUCCUUUUUCACAAUUUCACAAUUUUAAGUCAAAUAUAAAUAUUAUCGUAGUUCAAUCGUACAAAAAAACUUAAUUUGAAAAAUUUAUUCUUUAUCACAAAUAAAUGUAAUUAGCAAUAUACCCAAUUUGAACGAAAGACACAUUUGAAAUCGUUUGGCUGAAUGAUUAGUGUCUGGGUUUCGAAAUAACAUUUCUAAUUCGAGGGAAUCCCCUUAAUUUUUCUAUCGAAACAACAUUGGUCAUCCGCCCAGGCUCCUUUCACUCGGUCUAGACACUCGAUUUCUUUCUUUUCUAAUUAUCAGAAAGAAUCGUUCACCCUUUGUAGAUUGAAGAAAAAGUGACAUAUGGACAAAAUGUCUGUCUAAUUCUUAAAUUGAAACAUAUUCGCUGCAGGUGAACGACCUGUUGCACCUCGAUUGAAAGGAGAAAGAAAGAGAGUCGUCUCGAUCCAGUUUCUCGAUCUCCUUUCGAAUUCAUUCGAUACUUAAAGGAGAUCAAAAAUUAAUCAUGAUACUUGUAAAUAUAUAAAUACAUACUAUGUACCAAUCAAAACUUCGUCCCUAUAAGGUUAUGUAAUUUGAAAAUCUCACUACACUUUUUAAAUUUUGUUUUAUUCGCUUUGCAUAUUGUAUAUUGUAUAUUGCAUUGCUGUAUCAAACAACAUUUAAUCCAUUUUAACUUAUUCCUCGUUCUAUGUUGUGCAAAAUUUACGUGUUUUAAUCUUCCAUAUUACAUUUGAACUACUAUGAAAUGUACAUGAUUUUCUUGCCUGAUUAUGUAAAUUAAUCACUCACUCAAAUUCAUAAACUUGCUACUAACUUUCGUUAUUCGUUACUUCAUUUCCAUAAUUUAGCUUCUUCCAAAAUUAGAAAUCGCUUACGUAACCUUAAAUUACAUGUAAUUAGUGUUAUUUAUUUGUGUUUAUCGAACAGUGUUAUCUACCAUCGAUUACUGUUGUGAUUUUCACGUAGUUUUCACUCUAUAUUCAUGGAAUAAAUAAAUGAGAAGAUAUUAGUUAUAAUCAAUGAAGAUUAGUGAUAUUUAAUAAUUAGUAAAGUUACCUUUAUA
rnacentral:lncRNA from 1 species